GGGGAUCCAUAAUAAACCCCAGGAAGAGUAGCUGCUGCCUUGGCAGGAACUAAUGGGGAUCCAUAAUAAACCCCAGGAAGAGUAGCUGCUGCCUUGGCAGGAACUAAUGGGGAUCCAUAAUAAACCCCAGGAAGAGUAGCUGCUGCCUUGACAGGAACUAAUGGGGAUCCAUAAUAAACCCCAGGAAGAGUAGCUGCUGCCUUGGCAGGAACUAAUGGGGAUCCAUAAUAAACCCCAGGAAGAGUAGCUGCUGCCUUGACAGGAACUAAUGGGGAUCCAUAAUAAACCCCAGGGAGAGUAGCUGCUGCCUUGGCAGGAACUAAUGGGGAUCCAUAAUAAACCCCAGGAAGAGUAGCUGCUGCCUUGACAGGAACUAAUGGGGAUCCAUAAUAAACCCCAGGAAGAGUAGCUGCUGCCUUGGCAGGAACUAAUGGGGAUCCAUAAUAAACCACAGGAAGAGUAGCUGCUGCCUUGGCAACAGGAACUAAUGGGGAUCCAUAAUAAACCCCAGGAAGAGUAGCUGCUGCCUUGGCAACAGGAACUAAUGGGGAUCCAUAAUAAACCCCAGGAAGAGUAGCCUUCUAUUAUAAAGGCUGUCAUGGUAACAAGCGUUCUAUUAUAAAGGCUGUCAUGGUAACAAGCGUUCUAUUAUAAAGGCUGUCAUGGUAACAAGCGUUCUAUUAUAAAGGCUGUCAUGGUAACAAGCGUUCUAUUAUAAAGGCUGUCGUGGUAACAAGCGUUCUAUUAUAAAGGCUGUCGUGGUAACAAGCGUUCUAUUAUAAAGGCUGUCAUGGUAACAAGCAUUCUAUUAUAAAGGCUGUCAUGGUAACAAGCGUUCUAUUAUAAAGGCUGUCAUGGUAACAAGCGUUCUAUUAUAAAGGCUGUCGUGGUAACAAGCGUUCUAUUAUAAAGGCUGUCGUGGUAACAAGCGUUCUAUUAUAAAGGCUGUCGUGGUAACAAGCGUUCUAUUAUAAAGGCUGUCAUGGUAACAAGCGUUCUAUUAUAAAAGCUGUCAUGGUAACAAGCAUUCUAUUAUAAAGGCUGUCAUGGUAACAAGCGUUCUAUUAUAAAGGCUGUCAUGGUAACAAGCGUUCUAUUAUAAAUGCUGUCAUGGUAACAAGCGUUCUAUUAUAAAUGCUGUCAUGGUAACAAGCGUUCUAUUAUAAAGCUGUCAUGGUAACAAGCAUUCUAUUAUUAAGGCUGUCAUGGUAACAAGCAUUCUAUUAUAAAGGCUGUCAUGGUAACAAGCGUUCUAUUAUAAAGGCUGUCAUGGUAACAAGCGUUCUAUUAUAAAGGCUGUCAUGGUAACUGCAAUAUUAGUGGAUUGUUUUUUUCUCAAGACUUGAGUGUCAUUUGCAGUAAAGUCCAGGAAACAAAUAACAUUGGAUUGUUUUCGUUAUUCACAAUUCCGAUGAACAAAUAAGGUUUUACAUGUAAGAUGGUUAAAUAAAGAGCAAAAUAAUUGAUCAUUAUUAUAUUAUUAUUUGUGCCCUGGUCCUAUAAGAACUCUUUGUCACUUCCCACGAGCCGGAUUGUGACAAAACCUCACACUCAUUCUUAUGUUUAAUAAAUGUAUCGUAUAGUGUGUGUGUGGCAGACUUACAAUGACGGCAACAACAACAUUUGAGAGUGCCCUGAUCCUGGUGCUAGAGGGGGUACAGCUGGAGGGUGAAUGUUUGAAGGGGUACAGCUGGAGGGUGAAUGUUUGAAGGGGUACAGCUGGAGGGUGAAUGUUUGAAGGGGUACAGCUGGAGGGUGAAUGUUUGAAGGGGUACAGCUGGAGGGUGAAUGUUUGAAGGGGUACAGCCGGAGGUUGAAUGUUUGAAGGGGUACAGCUGGAGGUUGAAUGUUUGAA
rnacentral:lncRNA from 1 species